GAGUGGCUCAGUGGUAGAGCAGGUCCACCAUAUGAGGAGGCUAUAGUCCUGGAUGCAGAUAUCCUGGGUUCAGUUCCCAGUCAUGUACA